rnacentral:rRNA from 1 species
GACGAACGCUGGCGGCGUGCUUAACACAUGCAAGUGGAGCGACGAACCAGGCUUCGGCCUGGGGCAAAGCCGCGAACGGGUGAGUAUCACGUGGGUAACCUACCCCGAUGACCGGGACAACCCGAGGAAACUCGGGCUAAUACCGGAUGUGCUGUACAGCCUUAAGGCCGUACAGGAAAGGAAGCUUCGGCCUCCGCAUUGGGAGGGGCCCGCGGCCAUUAGCUUGUUGGUGGGGUAACGGCUCACCAAGGCNGCGAUGGGUAGCUGGUCUGAGAGGACGAUCAGCCACACUGGGACUGAGACACGGCCCAGACUCCUACGGGAGGCAGCAGUGGGGAAUCUUGCGCAAUGGGCGAAAGCCUGACGCAGCGACGCCGCGUGA